rnacentral:misc_RNA from 1 species
AAUACAUUCUUUGUAAUUCAAGUUGACAGCAAACAAAGUCCUGAAUACACAGAUUCAGUGAGGUAAUAAUCAACGGUCAUUGAAUCUUUCGGCAUUGAUGUCGAUCAAGAUUCAAACCGAAAGUCGAACAGCGAAAACGGAAGAAACAGAAACGUACGUAAAUCAAUGUGAAACAAGGGACAUUUCAACUGGCGAUCAACGUCUUUUAGCAAUAUUUUGAUCCCUGCGCCUAUUAUCGGCAGAUGAUCCUCGAUCGAUUCGGAACUCGAUAAAGUAACCGGCAGGUGGGCGAGAAGGAUCGCAAAGAGAAUACUGCAGACAAAUGUUGCACUUAUCAACCGGUUCUUCAUGGCGCUUUGUGAAAGUUGAUUUAU